UACGGGGGGGGCAAGCGUUGUUCGGAAUUACUGGGCGUAAAGGGCUCGUAGGCGGCCAACUAAGUCAGACGUGAAAUCCCUCGGCUUAACCGGGGAACUGCGUCUGAUACUGGAUGGCUUGAGUUCGGGAGAGGGAUGCGGAAUUCCAGGUGUAGCGGUGAAAUGCGUAGAUAUCUGGAGGAACACCGAUGGCGAAGGCAGGUCUCUGGGCCACUACUGACGCUGAGAAGCGAAAGCAUGGGGAGCGAACAGG
rnacentral:rRNA from 1 species